GUCACUUGUCAGACGAAGCCACUGCUGAAACACCUUGUCAGGGUCUCGCUACGCACUGCUGAUGCUGUGAAUAUAAUGGUUUUUAGAGUGGAUUUGCAGUAGAGCCCUACAGAUAAAUGGUAAGUUGUGACUGAGACUGACCAAGUAUAGACUUUGUAGGCUAGAAUGAGGAGUAUAGAUAGAGAGCAUACAUGGUAGACCACUAUCUACAGCUUUAGAGGAGUAUAUUACAAGGUUAGCUCAGAGGACACCAUUGGAAGUGUUGAGAUAAAAGAAAAAAUCGAGUUCUUUAAAACCUAGGUGUUAUUUCUGUGGGUUUGACAUCAUUCUUUUGGCUUAUGAUAAAAUUUAAUAGACCAACUUAAUUGUAGAGAUAAAUCUGAGGUAAUCACUUACCCGGUGCUUUGACUUCCAAAUCUAUGGUUAAGAUGAUUGGGUUACGGUGGACUGAUUUAAAGCUCCUGUGAGGAUUUUUUCCACUGUUUAUUUAGCAAACACGUGAACUUGCUGCUGUUAUUGUGUGGUACUUGGUAGACGUUGCACUUGUUGUAGGCUGUGUUGGGAAUUCAUCAAUAUGCUGCUGCUGUUGUUGUUGUUGUUUUGGUGAUGGGUGUUAUUUAUCUACAGACUGCUGUAUGGUACAGAAUUAAUUCCCGUUAAGGGCAAUAAAAUUGUCAAUCAAUCAAUAGCCUGUAGCAUGUAGCCCUCUAAAAAUUGCUACAAAUCUUGUCAACAACUGUCUUCUCUCCAAAACAAAUGCAGUCAUCCAUCUGAGAAAUGUUAUCACUAAUGUUUGCAAUAACUGCUAAACUCAGUCAAGAUUCAGAAAGUCCUUUUAGGGGCUUUAGACUUGUCUGAGGUUUUUGAUCUUUGCCCCGCUUCACCACUUUAAAGCUCUUUACUCAUAACCCUGUGUCUCUUCAGUGAAGCAGAUGAGAACAGUGUUGUCAUGACCGAUUAGGUAGGAAGCAAAAAAAACAGAAAUAAGACCAAAGUUGUGGAAGAAAAAAAAGAAAAGAAAAGAAAAGAUAUUUUAGCUGGUCAACUACUCUAUGAACAAGAUAAAAAUCCUCUCAGUCGUCCAUGCCAAUCUAUUAUAAUUUCUUGGUUUCAGAAGAAACACUGCAGGUAAUGUUCAAAUUAAAAAUACUUUGUAAAAAUACAAAGUGUUAAUUAAUGCAGUAUAGAGGAAGUGAUAUACUAAGGAGAAAGGCUAUGAAAUAGGUUGUUGCUCUCUAUACAUAUUGGAUUCAUCACCAGUUUGUUUUUUUUGUGGAGGUGUUUUUCAGCUUCUCAUCAAGUAAGUCAUGUGAUUCUUCAAGUGACUGGAGAGGAAGCUGAACAUCGAUAUCCUCCUCCUCAGGUGGGAACUGCAGCCUCCUUUCACUUCCUGCCUGUAGGGUUUGUACCAUGGCUGUUUGGUGCUGGAGCUGCACCUCACUCAGGGCUUCCAAUACAGCUUUUUCAAUAACUGUUUGAUAUAAAAGCAGUAAGAGAAUGGUAAGACAAAUUAAUAUUAUUAUGAUUAUACAGAAAUAUUCUAGGAAUCUUGCUGUCCCGUUAAAAACGUACGUAUGCAUUGAGCAGGAACUAACCACCCUGUUGGCCAGACCCUGGAUCUCGAGGAAGAUGCUGAAACUACAAAUCACGGUUUAGUGUAUCAGUGGUAUUUAAUACAGUUACAGACAGGAUUGCAAGGUUUUGGAGAUGAUUUUUGGCAACACUUUGUACCUUGAGUUUGGCUAAUGUUCCAUUUAUGUGUUAUUGAGUCCAGUUUUCGAAGCAGGAAAUGCACAUGAACGCCCUACCAAGUAUUGCAAACAAGUCUGAUAAAUUCGAUUUUUCCUAGUUGUAAUGUUUCAACACGGCUGUCCAAAGCCAGAGUCUUCUGUGAAAAGAAAUGAAAUUUGAUCUGAUAAAACCUCAGUGAACCACAGUUAAAAUUUUAAAAUGUGGUAGUCUCCAAAUGCCUCCCUCUCUGCUGUGGUUGUUUCUGUAAACCAGAGAAAAACCAACACUUGUUAUCUAAAGCAAACUUUGUGAUUAGCUUAAGAAGCUAACAACAACAAGGUUUGUGCUUCCAUUCCGAAGAACAUGAACCCAACUGGAUUUUUUACAUUUACCUUUUACAUUUAGCUUCCUGAACCACCCCAUGAAUCUGAUGUAUGUGAACGUGACAUAAUUUCAAGUUGGAGUUUCAGAUGGGGGUAAAAAGAGAAAUGGGUUGCAUUUUUUUAGGGUGUUCUCUGCCUUCAGGCUGCAUGAUGAAAGUUUUUAACACUUCUGUGCAGAUUAUCCCUUACUUGACUGCUGUUUACAUAUGAAUAGACAUAAUCUUUCUUAAAAUAUCAUAACUAAUACUUCAUUUGUGUGUGUGUAGCAAGAAGGGAGCAGUUGUUAAGUGGAGAGAAUGAUGAGAUGGAGAAUCAUGGAAAGGUUUAAUUUCUACCAUGUGUGAACAACUUGACCUUGGAUAAAAUAUCUGCCUGAUGUGACAAAACACAAAAGGACUUCAUUUCUACUAUGAACUAAUUGUGGUCUUACUCUGGUAGGUUGGACUGGGUGUGGAGAGUGCCUGCCUGUCUCAUAUUGGACUUGUAGUGGACUACCUAUUAAAACAGGUUGCCCUGGGUGUGGACCUUGCUCGCCUGUCUUGAGAUGGCUGUUAAUACAGAUUACCUGAUGUUUUGUCCACCUCCUCAUGUGGGGGCCAGGCAACCAUCCACCCACUCCUUGGUCACUGGACCGGUGGAUUUUUCC